GACGAACGCUGGCGGCGUGCUUAACACAUGCAAGUCGAACGGUGAAAGCGGAGCUUGCUCCGCUGGAUCAGUGGCGAACGGGUGAGUAACACGUGGGCAACCUGCCCCUCACUUCGGGAUAACUCCGGGAAACCGGGGCUAAUACCGGAUAUGACCUCCUUGGGCAUCCUUGGAGGUGGAAAGUUUUUCGGUGAGGGAUGGGCCCGCGGCCUAUCAGCUUGUUGGUGAGGUAGUGGCUCACCAAGGCGACGACGGGGAGCCGGCCUGAGAGGGCGACCGGCCACACUGGGACUGAGACACGGCCCAGAAUCCUACGGGAGGCAGCAGUGGGGAAUAUUGCGCAAUGGGCGAAAGCCUGACGCAGCAACGCCGCGUGCGGGAUGACGGCCUUCGGGUUGUAAACCGCUUUCAGCAGGGAAGAAGCCGCAAGGUGACGGUACCUGCAGAAGAAGCACCGGCUAACUACGUGCCAGCAGCCGCAGUAA
rnacentral:rRNA from 1 species